rnacentral:rRNA from 1 species
CUGCUGCCUUCCGUAGGAGUCUGGGCCGUGUCUCAGUUCCAAUGUGGGGGACCUUCCUCUCAGAACCCCUACGCAUCGUCGGCUUGGUGGGCCGUUGCCCCACCAACUACCUAAUGCGCCGCAUGCCCAUCCGUGACCGGGGUCGCCCCCUUUGACCACCUGGAGAUGUCUCCAAAUGGUGUUAUGCGGUAUUAGACGGAAUUUCUUCCGCUUAUCCCCCUGCAUAGGGCAGGUUCCAUACGUGUUACUCACCCGUGCGCCGGUCGCCGG